AACGUAGGACACAAGCGUUAUCCGGAGUUACUGGGCGUAAAGGGCGUGUAGGCGGACCUAUAAGUCUAUUCUGAAAGCUCCUGGCUAAACUGGGAGAGGCGAAUGGAGACUGUAGAUCUAGAGUGAGGAAGAGGAAAGUGGAAUUCCGCGUGUAGUGGUGAAAUGCGUGAGAGAUGCGGAAGGAACACCAGUGGCGAAAGCGACUUUCUGGUCC
rnacentral:rRNA from 1 species